AGUAGUCAUAGCUCGUCUCAAAGAUUAAGCCAUGCAUGUGUAAGUAUAACUAAUUGACUUUGAAGCUGCGAAUGGCUCAUUAUAUCAGUUAUAGUUUAUUUGGUGAAGGAUACUAAUUGGAUAACCGUAGUAAUUCUAGGGCUAAUACAUGAGUAAAGUCCCGUAGGGAUGUGUUUAUUAGAAUGAAAACCAUAUGCUUCGGCAUGAUAGUGAGUAAUAGUAACCUAUCGUAUCGCAUGCUAUAAGUAGCGAUGAGUCUUUCAAGUUUCUGCCCUAUCAGCUU
rnacentral:rRNA from 1 species